AACACAAGCAGCCAAGAUUUCCCCAAGAAACACGUACUAACCAAAACCCCUCUACCCACUGCUCAUUUCACCCGGGAACAACAUGUCUGCCAACGGGAUGAGCAGGGUGUUCACCCCUGUGGUGCAAGGCAAGGACCAGCACAACAGCAUGAACAACAUGCAGGUAACUACACUAUAACUUGUAAUUGUAAGCAUUCGUUCUGACUAUCGUACAAGAAGAUCAUGUGGAGGUGGACUCGGGGAUUGAAUUGAACGAGCUGCUCGAUCUUGUAGAAUCAUAGCACGGGCAACAACACAAGUGUCCCUGUGACUGGCACUUCCUUCACCGGUGGCUCCUUCUUCAGUGGCAACUCAGUUAACGCGCCGCCGCCGCAGGUGAAAAAUACUCCUAUCAUAUUUUCAUUAAUCAGUUUCGAACAGAGUAAUAAUAUGCUUUAGUUUUGUUUCGCAUUUAGGGCCCAAGCCAUUACUCUACCUUUGGCAUCGGGGGAAAUUCCAGCUUCUGAUCAUGGGGCCGGCAGUGCCGCAGUGGCAGCAGGACUACCAGCUACAGCCUGAACUAAUUAAGUAGCACGAGCUUGCAAGAAUAUAUAUGUAUGUUUGAAUAAAGUCAUGAUAGCUUGCUAGCUACCUCGAUCAACGAAGCAACACAGUCCUGUUAUGAUCUAUACGAACCUGCAAGUGCAAAGAAUAAAGCAAGUAGCUCGAUCAGCGGAGCAACGCAGUCCUGUUAUGUAUUACUCCCUCCUCCCAAAUUAUAAGAAUUUUUAGCUUUUCUAAGUACAUAGUUCUUACUUUGCUAUGCACCUAAAUAUAAGUGUAUGUUUAGCUAUAUACAAACAUCUAUGCUAGAAAAACCAAAAGGACCUACAAUUUGAGGAAAUAUCUUCUAUACUGCUAAUGCCCUCAAAGCAAAUGGCACGAAUUUACAAUUUUACAUUGUGCAUCACUCUGGGCACACACGUUUGGUUUAUUGCCAACGUGCGCCUCGCCAUUUUUUGGCGCGCCCAUACAAAUUUGGCCAGUGCUUGAAUCGGUGCCGCUACCUUAGCGAACCCAUGCCCCUGCGCCCGUGCCAGAGGAGAGCUAGUUCAUUUUCUUGCCUAAGCAUCAUCGGCAAAACGAGCAUGACAAAUUUGUUCGCCCGCGCAUUGGCUGGGUGAGUACGGGCUACAACCAAACAUGGCCACAAUAACAACGACAUACUCCC
rnacentral:lncRNA from 1 species